rnacentral:rRNA from 1 species
GAUGAACGCUGGCGGCGUGCUUAACACAUGCAAGUCGUACGGUAAGGCCCUUUCGGGGGUACACGAGUGGCGAACGGGUGAGUAACACGUGAGUAACCUGCCCACAACUUUGGGAUAACGCUAGGAAACUGGUGCUAAUACUGGAUACGUGCUCCUGCUGCAUGGUGGGGGUUGGAAAGCUCCGGCGGUUGUGGAUGGACUCGCGGCCUAUCAGCUUGUUGGUGGGGUAGUGGCCUACCAAGGCGGCGACGGGUAGCCGGCCUGAGAGGGUGACCGGCCACAUUGGGACUGAGAUACGGCCCAGACUCCUACGGGAGGCAGCAGUGGGGAAUAUUGCACAAUGGGCGCAAGCCUGAUGCAGCAACGCCGCGUGCGGGAUGACGGCCUUCGGGUUGUAAACCGCUUUCAGCAGGGACGAAGCUUUUUGUGACGGUACCUGCAGAAGAAGCACCGGCUAACUACGUG